rnacentral:lncRNA from 1 species
UUUGCUAGAAGGAAUGAAUGUAACAAAUGCGGUACUCCAUGUCCUAGCAGUGGUAAUGACCGCGGCGGUAGUGGUGGUGGUUAUAAUAGAGGAGGAAGUGAUGGAGGAUACGGCAGUAACAGAGGAGGUAGGUCCGGGAACUACGAUGGAGGAAGAAAUAAUGAUUAUAAUGGUGGAAGGAGUAGUAACAAUGAUGGAAGAGGUGGAGGGAGCAAUAGAGGUGGCUCAUAUGGUGGUAAUCAAGGCAGAGAUGAUGGUGGCUAUGGUCAAGCUCCUCCUCCAGCUGCUCCUCAGUCUUAU